CCUUGUUUGAAGUGUUGGCUCUGGCACAUCCCCACUGGUGAUGUGUCAUAACCUCCCAGGGCUUGGUGCUUCUUACUAGCAGUUGGAGACAAGGCUAGACCUCUAUCUAGUCUCUGUGGGGAGACAACAGCUGUAAGAGGACCUGGAAGCUUCCUGUAAAGUUUUCCAAGACCUCAGAUUCUUCAGCCUCUUGUGAGGCCUUGCGUUGAUCAGACAGUGAGGAACACAGGUCUGGUCUCUGAAAAAAAAAAAAAAAAAAACAACGCCAGCUGGUGGAAGACAUAGCAAAGGAGAGCCCGGCAACCUGAUGAGGUUUGUGUCCAGAUGACAAAACACCACCCAGGACAAUCGAGGCACAGUGUUAGGUACUGGAGAGAGAGGCCAAACAUGCCAUUGGCCCUGCCUUGCCCCAGCAGCCUCGUCCCGGGCUGGAGAAGCCAUCAAGUACAGCGCGGGAGUCCUGGGUUCCGAAUGAAGGGUCUCUCUACAUCGCCCUGGGUUCCUAGAACUCACUACACAGAGUAGACUGGGCUCAGAUUCACAGAGGUCCUCCUGCCUCUGCCUCCCGAGUGCUGGGAUUAAAGGUGAGUGCCACCCCUGCCUGGCAUAAGUGACUUUCUUAAAACUUCCUCCACUUGCCUGAGGUGGCAGAGGGAAGAAACCCCGGCUCUCAACCUCACUCUUCUCCUCCCUGUCUGGGGGUGGGUCUGGGGCCCCAGAGCCUGUCUUGCUCUCUUGGUAAGUCUACAGCUAUGUUUGACACUAUCUACUGGGUGGGGUCUGGGCAGACGCAGAUGACAUGCCCAAGAAUAUGGCUGGGGAGAGUAGAGAAGGCCAUCCAAAGGCCUGGGCAGAAUGUGAAAACUAUUUUCAGUAAAGGAGGCAAGGGAGCCGGGCGGUGGUGGCACACGCCUUUAAUCCCAGCACUUGGGAGGCAGAGCCAGGUGGAUCUCUGUGA